rnacentral:rRNA from 1 species
UACGAAGGGGGCUAGCGUUGUUCGGAAUCACUGGGCGUAAAGCGCACGUAGGCGGAUUUGUUAGUCAGGGGUGAAAUCCCGGGGCUCAACCUCGGAACUGCCUCUGAUACAGCAAAUCUCGAGUCCGGAAGAGGUGAGUGGAACUCCUAGUGUAGAGGUGAAAUUCGUAGAUAUUAGGAAGAACACCAGUGGCGAAGGCGGCUCACUGGUCCGGAACUGACGCUGAGGUGCGAAAGCGUGGGGAGCAAACAGG